UUUUGGCCGUUCUUUCUUCCAAUCCUCUGUUUCCCUGUGAUAUCUGUGCUUUCUUUCGCGGAAAGGGUUGUUGAUUUUCGUGGUUUAAAGGAUUUUGUGGUUGCCGGGCCGUUGUGCGUCUAUUUAGAUUUGGGAUUUUUUGCGUUCCGAGGGUUUCGACGUCUCUAAUUGGGGUAAAGAAUUCUUGCUGUUUCCCCUUUUUUCCGUUUGGGAUUUCUGGGUUGUGGCUGGGUUUUUGGCCGAUUUACACCUCUUUUCAAGGGUGGCGUCUUUGCAGCCUACUGUGGAACAAGUGUGAUCCAACUAAGGUAUAUUUUAUAAUCAUUUCUUUUGGUUUUUAUUUUUGGUUUUUCCUUUGUUUUGAUGAAACCUUAAUCGUUUCCUUUUAUUGUCAAUUGUGGUGCUCUCUUGGGUUUUCCCUGUUAGAGGAGAAUUUUUCGUUUUUGUUCUUCAGUUGGUAUAUCUCUAAUUUGCUGGUAUUUGCAACGUUGCUGUAAUUUUUUGGGUAUUUUUUUGCACUUCUGCUUCGGACAUGGAUUGGUAAUUAUUGGAUUUAAAUGGAUUCGUAGUUUUUGAUGAGAGGAGUUGUUGAGGUUGUGUGAAGGUUUGUUUUUCUGGAUUUUAUGCUGCAAGGGGUUACAAACACGGAGAUGAGGAGAGGAAACAUUAGUUUAGAUUGUGAGCUUUUUUUUUUUUUUUUUUUUUAUAUAUAUAUAUAUGUUCUUGGUGAUAUAAACUGUGUGAGUGCAGUUGUUUUAAAAUUAUUCGUGUGUGCUUUUUAUGGUUUUGCUUUUUUCCAGUUUGGAUUAAAAUGGAUUUUGAAUUUUUGAGAAGAAAUUAAAAGGGUUGUUGGAAUUUUGGAAGCCUUGUGUUUUUGGUGAACACGCAGACAAUCUUGAAAAUUUGUGUUAAAAGAUUAAUGUUUGUAUAUAAAAAUUGCAACCAUGUGGUAAAGAACAAUGGUUCAUUAAGCUAAAUGUCAAUGGACUAAUCCAUGUGUUGACUGUGUUGAAAGGCACAAAUUUUUUUGACAUGUUUGGGUUUCAUCUCAUGUGGAUUAGUGGAAAAACAAAAUGGUAUUGCUCUGACAGAUUGUUGGUCGCUUACAGGUCUGAAGACUAAUAUUACGAAUCGUGAUUCUAAAUCAGCUUAUCCUUAGUUCACAAAUACCAAGAUCGUUAUUUAUCUGUGAGUACAUGUGAUUUAUGAAUUGACAUUGUCCCUGGGUUUUUUGUACUAAAUAAAUUUCUAUAAUUAGUUUGGUGUUUUCAUUUCGUUUGCUUAUUUGAUUUUCUAUUGGACCGCAUGGAUUAAGUUGCAGACAGAGAUAGUAAACUCUGUUUCAUGCUCUUUUUGGGUUUUGGCUGCUUUAGGUUUGAUUUGAAAGAAACUCAGAAGAAAAAAAAAAUGAAGGGCGGUGAUGUAGAAUGGUUAAAUUGCAAUUUCAGUUUUACAUACUUAAACUUAAGAUGUGUGCGCUGCAAAGUGAGUUGGCAAAAGAAGCCCUUUAGACGCUUUUUGUUAAUAUCUCAUAGGCUUUGCUGUUUGAUUUCAGAAAUUUUAUGCCCAUCUUGGGCUCGCUUCGAACUUGGUUGAGACCGAUCUAAUCCGGCGUUUCCAGGUGAGUUUUGCAUGUUAAUCAGCUUAUAUGGUUUCGAUCUUUUGUUUUUCGUUGGAUCGUUAUUGUACGUGUCUGAUGCAUUUUGUUUUCCAGUUUCGGGAGACCGUUCCUUUUAGAUUUUUGGAUUUUCGAUUCUGAUUCUUGGAACUCUCUGUGCUAAAGGUAUAUAAAUGUAUUAUUUGUUUUUUCCUUUGUUUUCUUUGCGCCUGAAUUUCUUUUUUUUUGUUUUGUUUGGUGAUUUGGGACCUUUUUUGUGCUUGUUUGGGUUGUUAAUUGGUAAUGCAUAUUUUCUUGCUGAUUUUUGUGCUAGCAAUGUUAUUUAAAUCCACAGCUGCUUUUUUUCAUAUGACUUGCUGUGAUGGUUAUGCUUGAUUCAUAAGAUUUGAGGUAGUCGUGAUAAAAUUAGAAGAGUGAUAUCUACGUUAUUUUGGAUUUGUGAGAGUGAUUUGUCAGAGCAAUGAGUAAAUUUUCAUAUGUAGUGUAGGGUCAAGUUUAAUAAUCAUUAAUGCGAUUUGGUAUAUGUCUGGUAGAAAUGCUAUCAAAUUGUAGAUACACAGUUUGUUGGUGUGCAGCAAGGGGCUGGAAAAUUUUUUCAGUAUGUUUUUUAUGGUUUGGCUUUUUUCUGUUGGGCCUUUCCCGGCUAAAACAGUAUUUUGCAUUUUGGUUGCUCAGUUAAUAAAUUUGAGAUCUGCUGGCACCUGUGACGCUCUUCAGUUUUAUGUCCUGCUUUUUUCCAGUUUUAAAAUGCAUUGAUAAUUGUUGGAUUCAAAUAGAUUUAUAAUUUUUGCGAAGAAAUGAGAGGAUUCGUUGGAAUUUUGGAAAGCUUUGUCUUCAUGUUUUACAAACAGGGAGAGGAAGAAAGAAAACAUUAGUUUAGAUUGCAAUUUUAAAACUUUUUAUGUUGUUAGUGCUGGAAUCAAUGUGUUUUGUUGCGAAAUUGAUAAUGUGUAAAGUUAUUAGAAUUUUGGAAAACUUUGUCUUUCUCACUUUUAUCUGGCAGAGGGAACACAACUCUUACGUAUAUGAUUUCAAGUUUUUCCUUUAGAAAUUCAAGCUCUAUUGGAUACAUGAGGUAUAAGAGUCUGUUUGGGAUAUUUUCAAGUUGUACUGAUUCCUGAAAAAAAAACCAUGCUUAAGAGUAAUCAUAUUUCAGUUUUUAUUGAAUUCAGGUAACCAUCUUCAGUUUUUUGCUUUGAUCUGAAGGCUUUGUUUUGUUCAGAUAUCAAAAUUGGGCAUGAGUUCAUAUGUUUUUCAAUGUUUUUAUUCCGAUUUAAUAAUGUGAUUUAAUGGUGCGAUGCUGAUUUAGGCUAUAAAUACAGAGGCUUUUCAAUAGGCAAGUUUGCAACAUGGAAUUCAUAGGCAGUUGUAUCAUUAGAUGAAAUAUACUAGAUCUAAUCCUUAGACAUCAUUUUUCACUUUGAUUAAGAUGUGUGCCUGCCUUCUCAGUACAAAACUGCCUUACAUAUCAUUUUUUAAGCAUUUUUACAUCUAAUAUUUUCAACACCCGUAGCAACGUGCAGGCACUAUUGCUAGUACUCUCUAUUUUCACACAGAUUUCCUAACUACUCCCUAUACUAGGUAUAUGUGAGAAGAUUUAUGUAAACAUGUAGACUAGCACUCACAUACGUUAUAAUCAAAGAAGGCAAUUUCUGUAAUUAUUAAUGCAUGUAUAUAUGAUCUCAUGAACGGAAUGCCACUACUUAGACGCAAGAACCAGGGAUUCCAUAUGCUCGUACAAAUUUCAAACUCGACAGAUUGAAACACACAACAACCAAAAUAGAAGUCUAAGGAUUGUAAUGGGGCUAAGGGUAUUAGCUAACAAAGAAAGGUCAAGGAUAAACAAGGGUUCUUAAAGCAAUAGUAAGCAAAAAUAAUGAAAUUGACAUUUAGAAUUUACUAUUGAAUGCACCAACUAACUUUAAACACAAGGGGAAUUCGUACACACUUAGGGUCUUAUUCAAACUUUUUGGACCAUUUUUUCAACAACCAAUACUUGUGAGUUCAUUCUCACUUAUUUCACAACUUUUUUUCCUUUCUUUUUCCACCUUUUCUUCUUUUCAUGAUUUUUUUCUAUAUGUUUUUUCUUUUCUCGUGCCGUACUCAUUCUUUGGCACAUAAAACGUACAACCCAAUAGAUUUGCAACGAGAAACCUUCCAGCACACUUAUUUUCUGCAAUAUGUUGAUCAAAAGGAAUUCCCUCUAAAUUAUGCUUCACUAUCCUUUAGGAACAAGGGUAUGGAUAGUCCUAUUCUAGGCUAGCUUGGGAUAGGCCUGGCAAACGGAUUGUGUCUGUCGUGUUCGUGUUGUUUUCAUGUAACACCUAUUAUCUUAAUGGGUCGUGUCGUGUCAAACCUGUUAUCUUAACAGGGGUAAAGUGAUCCGACCCGUUAUAACCCGUUAUGACCCGUUAAGAAAAAUAUAUAUAUAUAUUUUUUUAAAUUUGCACAUACCACACUUUGCCACAUAAAUAUUACUUCAAAACAUUAAAACACAUGAUUUAAUAUAUAUAUAUAUAUAUAUUAUAUAAUUGACACACCCCGAUCCUAGAAUCAAGGCGUGCUGGCCGUCACGUGAGCGUGAGGUAGCCAAAAGUGUGACACGGAAGCAAGAUAUAACAGAAAUAUGAAUGAAUUUAAACCAACCACUAGCA
rnacentral:lncRNA from 1 species